rnacentral:tRNA from 1 species
GGUGGCUCAGUGGUAGAGCGCUUGCCUUGCAAGCACGAGGCCCUGGAUUCGAUUCCUAGCACCA